rnacentral:rRNA from 1 species
CCUACGGGUGGCAGCAGUGAGGAAUAUUGGUCAAUGGGCGCAAGCCUGAACCAGCCAAGUCGCGUGAGGGAAGACGGCCCUACGGGUUGUAAACCUCUUUUGCCGCGGAGCAAGCCUGAGCACGUGUGCCCAGGCGGAGAGUACCCGGAGAAAAAGCAUCGGCUAACUCCGUGCCAGCAGCCGCGGUAAUACGGAGGAUGCGAGCGUUAUCCGGAUUUAUUGGGCUUAAAGGGAGCGUAGGCGGGCGUUCAAGUCAGCUGUAAAAUCGCGCGGCUCAACCGCGCCCCGCAGUUGAAACUGGACGCCUUGAGUUCACAACAGGCAGGCGGAAUUCGUGGUGUAGCGGUGAAAUGCAUAGAUAUCACGAGGAACCCCGAUUGCGAAGGCAGCCUGCCGGGGUGCGACUGACGCUGAGGCUCGAAGGUGCGGGUAUCAAACAGGAUUAGAUACCCUAGUAGUC